rnacentral:rRNA from 1 species
AGUCGCGGUUAAACCAAGAUGAUCAAGUCAUAUAACUUCGGUGAAAAAACAGUUAAAUUAAAUUCAUGUUUAUAAAAUGUCUAUAGAAAAGUAAAAUUUGGUCAUAGACAAGAAAUCUAAUUUAAACUUAAAUGUUGAAGCUGUGAAAACCUCGAGGGAAACUGGGAUUAGAUACCCCAUUAUUCUUGGAUGUAAACUGAUUUUUAUCUACCAGAGUACUAUGAAUUAAAUAUUUAAAACUUAAAGGGCUUGGCGGUGUUUUAGACCUCUUAGGGGAACCUGUCUCAUAAUCGACAAUCCACGCUAAACCUAACCUUUUUUUGUACAUCAGCUUGUAUACCGUCGUCGUCAGGUAACUUUUUAGAAAAAAGAAGUUAGCAAAAAAAUAAAGUGAGUUUUCACGUCAGAUCAAGGUGCAGCUAAUAAAAGGGGGAGGAUGGGUUACAAUUAUAAAAUCGUAAUAAUGGAAAGUUGUUUGGAAUAAGAACAAGAAGGAGGACUUGAAAGUAAGAUAAAAUAUAUAAACAUUCUGAAUAAGGCUCUGAAACGUGCACACAUCGCCCG